rnacentral:pre_miRNA from 14 species
CUUAAAUAUUGCCAGAAUGGCACAUAAAUGACCAAUGACAAAUGAAAGACCCCCGGAGUGGGGAGACCUUCACUCAAGUCUCGGGAUGACGCACCCUCCCAAGAACUCACACAAGACC